rnacentral:rRNA from 2 species
CAACUUUUAACGGUGGAUCUCUUGGCUCGUGCAUCGAUGAAGAACGCAGCCAGGUGCGAUAAGUAGUGUGAAUUGCAGAAUUCAGUGAAUCAUCGAAUUUUUGAACGCAAAUGGCGCUCCUUGGCUCUCCAAGGAGCAUGUCUGUCUGAGGGUCGACU